GGGAAACCGGGGCUAAUACCGGAUAACAUUUUGAACUGCAUGGUUCGAAAUUGAAAGGCGGCUUCGGCUGUCACUUAUGGAUGGACCCGCGUCGCAUUAGCUAGUUGGUGAGGUAACGGCUCACCAAGGCAACGAUGCGUAGCCGACCUGAGAGGGUGAUCGGCCACACUGGGACUGAGACACGGCCCAGACUCCUACGGGAGGCAGCAGUAGGGAAUCUUCCGCAAUGGACGAAAGUCUGACGGAGCAACGCCGCGUGAGUGAUGAAGGCUUUCGGGUCGUAAAACUCUGUUGUUAGGGAAGAACAAGUGCUAGUUGAAUAAGCUGGCACCUUGACGGUACCUAACCAGAAAGCCACGGCUAACUACGUGCCAGCAGCCGCGGUAAUACGUAGGUGGCAAGCGUUAUCCGGAAUUAUUGGGCGUAAAGCGCGCGCAGGUGGUUUCUUAAGUCUGAUGUGAAAGCCCACGGCUCAACCGUGGAGGGUCAUUGGAAACUGGGAGAC
rnacentral:rRNA from 2 species